UACAGAGGUCUCAAGCGUUGUUCGGAUUCAUUGGGCGUAAAGGGUGUGUAGGUGGCGCGCUAAGUCGGGUGUGAAAUUUCGGAGCUUAACUCCGAAACUGCAUUCGAUACUGGCGUGCUUGAGGACUGGAGAGGAGACUGGAAUUCAUGGUGUAGCAGUGAAAUGCGUAGAGAUCAUGAGGAAGACCAGUGGCGAAGGCGGGUCUCUGGA
rnacentral:rRNA from 1 species